UACGUAGGGGGCGAGCGUUGUCCGGAUUUAUUGGGCGUAAAGCGCACGUAGGCGGAUCGAUCAGUCAGGGGUGAAAUCCCAGGGCUCAACCCUGGAACUGCCUUUGAUACUGUCGAUCUGGAGUAUGGAAGAGGUGAGUGGAAUUCCGAGUGUAGAGGUGAAAUUCGUAGAUAUUGGGAAGAACACCGGUGGCGAAGGCGGCCAUCUGGCCCAUUUUUGACGCUGAGGCGCGAAAGCGUGGGGAGCAAACAGG
rnacentral:rRNA from 1 species